rnacentral:rRNA from 1 species
CUUCCGCCGGCGACCGGCGCACGGGUGAGUAACACGUAUGCAACCUGCCCCUGUCAGGGGACAACCGCCGAAAGGCGGGCUAAACCCGCGUACAUGCCACCGGGGCAUCCCGGAGGCAGGAAAGGCUUCGGCCGGACAGGGAUGGGCAUGCGGCGCAUUAGGCAGUAGGCGGGGUAACGGCCCACCUAACCGACGAUGCGUAGGGGUUCUGAGAGGAAGGUCCCCCACCACUGGUACUGAGACACGGCCCAGACUCCUACGGGAGGCAGCAG